GUACGCUGGCGGCACGCCUAACACAUGCAAGUCGAACGAAGUAGCAAUACUUAGUGGCAGACGGGUGAGUAACAUGUAGGUAUCUACCCUUUGGCCUGGAAUAACACGAGGAAACUUGUGCUAAUACCGGAUAAGUCUUUACGGAGAAAGCUUUAUGCACCAUUGGAUGAGCCUGCACUUGAUUAGUUUGUUGGUAGGGUAAUGGCCUACCAAGACUGUGAUCAAUAGCUGAUUUGAGAGGAUGAUCAGCCACAUUGGGACUGAGACACGGCCCAAACUCCUACGGGAGGCAGCAGUGGGGAAUCUUGCACAAUGGAGGAAACUCUGAUGCAGCGAUGCCGCGUGAGUGAAGAAGGCCUUUGGGUUGUAAAGCUCUUUCGUCGGGGAAGAAAAUGACUGUACCCGAAUAAGAAGGUCCGGCUAACUUCGUGCCAGCAGCCGCGGUAAUACGAAGGGACCUAGCGUAGUUCGGAAUUACUGGGCUUAAAGAGUUCGUAGGUGGUUGAAAAAGUUGGUGGUGAAAUCCCAGAGCUUAACUCUGGAACUGCCAUCAAAACUUUUCAGCUAGAGUUUGAUAGAGGAAAGCAGAAUUUCUAGUGUAGAGGUGAAAUUCGUAGAUAUUAGAAAGAAUACCAAUUGCGAAGGCAGCUUUCUGGAUCAUUACUGACACUGAGGAACGAAAGCAUGGGUAGCGAAGAGGAUUAGAUACCCUCGUAGUCCAUGCCGUAAACGAUGUGUGUUAGACGUUGGAAAUUUAUUUUCAGUGUCGCAGCGAAAGCGAUAAACACACCGCCUGGGGAGUACGACCGCAAGGUUAAAACUCAAAUGAAUUGACGGGGACCCGCACAAGUAGUGGAGCAUGUGGUUUAAUUCGAAGAUACGCGCAGAACCUUACCAACACUUGACAUGUUCGUCGCGACUUUAAGAGAUUAAAGUUUUCGGUUCGGCCGGACGAAACACAGGUGCUGCAUGGCUGUCGUCAGCUCGUGAGAUGUUGGGUUAAGUCCCGCAACGAGCGCAACCCUCACUUUUAGUUGCCAUCAUUUAGUUGGGCACUCUGAAAGAACUGCCAGUGA
rnacentral:rRNA from 1 species